GUUUCACUAUGUUGCCCAGGCUGGUCUCAAACUCCUGGGCUCAAGCAGUCCUCCUGCCUUUGGCUCUCAAAGGACUGGGAUUUACAGAUUUGCAGCAUAAACGGGUUGAUGGGCCAGCUUUAUUCUAAAUGACUGAAGACUUCUGUUCUUUUCAACAAACACAGUCCUCCAAUUAGGAGCUGCAAAUAAGAUUAUAUGCCCUGAAUAAGUCUGAAAAGGUCCUUUUAUAAUUAGAAAGUUUGUGUGUGGGAAGUGGAAGCAGCAUGAAAUGCUCACUGUGGCUUUAUUAAAAGAGUGACAUGAAGAUUUUCCCAAAUCCUCAUCUGAGUGCUCUAAAAUGAUCAAAUAAAAAUUAUGAAAA